rnacentral:rRNA from 1 species
UACGUAGGGGGCAAGCGUUGUCCGGAAUCAUUGGGCGUAAAGCGCGUGUAGGCGGCCCAGUAAGUCCGCUCUGAAAGCCCGGGGCUUAACCCCGGGAGGCGGGUGGAUACUGCUGGGCUCGAGUCCGGAAGAGGCGAGUGGAAUUCCCGGUGUAGCGGUGAAAUGCGCAGAUAUCGGGAGGAACACCAAUGGCGAAGGCAGCUCGCUGGGACGUGACUGACGCUGAGGCGCGAAAGCGUGGGGAGCAACAG